rnacentral:rRNA from 1 species
ACACGACUACAUUAGAUACCCGCGUAGUCCCAGCCCUAAACGAUGCGCGUUAGGUGUAUCGGUGACCACGAGUCACCGAGGUGCCGAAGGGAAACCGUGAAACGUGCCGCCUGGGAAGUACGGUCGCAAGGCUGAAACAUAAAGGAAUUGGCGGGGGAGCACCACAACGGGUGGAGCUUGCGGUUUAAUUGGAUUCAACGCCGGAAAUCUUACCGGGACCGACAGCAACAUGAAGGCCAGGCUGAAGACUUUGCCGGAUUAGCUG